AUUGCAAUUUCUGUUUCACUUCAUCGCCCUCAAGUCAUUAAUCCAUACGACUAAAACAACGAAGCUGCAUGUCUCCAAAGUGUGCAAUAAAAAUGCGUGAACGCAGAGCCCCGGGGCAAAGAGAAAAUUACCAGAAGUAGAAGUGACCUUAGGAUGAUGUAAUCAAUCAAACGACCCGUAGGGACACGUAUCACAGUCUUAAUCUUUCAAGGGAGGCUAGAUGAGAGAGUCAUGUGAUUCUUUUUAUAAAUAUAUAUAAACACCCUUUUUUACCCAUUUAAAAUGUUGUUACCUCGGGCAGGGGGAGAUAGAGAAUAUCAGAGAGCUAAAGCAUAAAUCUUUUCAUGAAAGAACAAUAUCAGAGCGAAUAGAGUCCUUUAGACAGGAAUACUGGACGCUAGGUCAUCUCCAUGUUCCUUUUUCUCUAAACUAUUCGCAUUCAUGCAUUCUUUAAACAAAUGUCCAAAUGGAAACUGUUGAGAUUACGAGUCUAAUGUUUCGGCUAAAGAGGAAAAUGUCUUCUGAUGGAUUGUCUUGUAAUCGCAACAUGCUCUAUAACAAUAAUUCUUAGCCCUUUCCUUAGGGGACUCAAGAGUUACAGUUCUACAAGUAGAUACAGCUCAUUAUAAGGUACCUGCUUAUCAUUUGUGAAUGGCAACAACAACCUCACAACGCAAGACCAAGGGACUGAUUGUGGACUUCAGGAAGGGGAAGUCAGGAGAACACACACCAGUCCUCACUGAGGGGUCAACAGUAGAAAUUGUGAGCAGCUUCAGGUCCCUGAGGUGUAGAUGCACAGAGGAUCAACCCUGCAUCUAACACAUUGACGGAAUGCUGAUGAAGGCAAGCCCGUGGCUCUGCUUUGUUAGAAAUUUCAGGAGAUUCUCUACGUUACCACGGACUAUUGCAAGCUUCUGUAGGUGUACAGUGGAGAGCAUCCUGAUUGGUAUGGAUCCUGUAAUGCACUGGAUCACAAGUAGCUGCAGUGGGUUAUAGACUCAGCUAGCUCCAUUAUGGAUACAAUUGUCCUCACCACUGAGGACAUCGUCAAGAACAUCUCCAAGAAGCAGUGCCUUAAGAAGACAGUGUCUAUCAUUAAGGACUUUGGUAUCUGGGGCAUCCCUUCUUCUCAUCUAUACAGGAGCCUUAAGACCUACACUCAAUGAUUCAGUAACAGCCUUUUCCCUUCCGGUAUCAGAUUUCUGAGUGGUCCACGAACACUACUUCUUACCCCUUUCCUGCACUAUUUAAUUUAUAGAUUUGUUUGUCUCUGCGCCGUACGGCUGCUGCAGAACAACAAAUUUCACGCCAUAUGUCAGUGAUUAUAAAUCUGAUUCUCAUUUUGAUUCAAACAUGGAGAUUAUCAUUUCUAAAAUCUGACAUUGCUAUAUGGUGGUUCUUCAGUUGGAAUCCUUGGGUAAUACCAUGGAGCUAAAAUCCCCAAUUGCUGGUUUCUGCCCCUAGCCUGGAAAGCUUGGAUUGUACUUGCUGCCUGAAAAUAGUUCAAUCAAUACCCAGACCAAGGAAAAACCCCAAAACAUACACCUGUCUUGGAGGUUAUAAUCUUAUGCUGGCAGACACACUGCCCUAUGGAGGAAAAAAAUCUUACGCAUAUCCUUUAUGUACCACUUUACUUUACACAUUUGCCCCCUAGUCAUAUACAACUAUGCUCUGUGUCCUCUCUAUCUCCCUCAUAAUGGUAUACAACUCGGUAAAGACUCCCUCAGCCUCCCCUGCUCCAAGGAAUCCCUGAUUUCCUCACAAGUGAGAGCCUUCAUCCCAAACAAGCUUUUAGCCAAUCUCCUCUGCAUCCUCCCUACUGUGACCUGCACCUGUACACAAUAUUUCUGCUGUAGCCAAACCAAUGCUACUAUAAUGUACUUGCACUUUUAUACUACUUUCUAGGUAAUAAAAACAAAUCUCUCAUAAGCCGAUUUAAUCACCUAUUUUUCUGCUGUCAGUUUCAAGGAUCUUCAGAUUUGGACAUAGAGGUCCAUUUGAUCCUUAAUACACCCUAGGCUUCUUACUAAUCCUUCUAAAAUACAUAAUCUCAUGCUUUUCACGAUUGAAUUCCACAUGCCAUUGCUCUGUUCAUCGUACCAACUGAAAAGGUUUGUCCUGCAUCCACUUCACUAUUAACAGCAUCACCAACUUUUGUGUCAUCUGCAAACCUACCAAUCAUAGCUCCUAUAUUCACAUCCCAAUUUAUUACUGAGUAGAACAACAUGUAAGAGUCCCAGCACCAAACACUGGGACACCGGUCAAUGGCUUCCACUUGCAAAAACAACACUCCACAUCAUCCUCUGCCUUAGUUUUGGCUCCAUUUCGAUAAUUUGCCAUCUACUUUGACCUUUUAGACCAGCCCUCUUUGCUGAAGCCCUGCAAGUCACAUCAACAUACUUUUUCCCUCUUCAAAAAAGUCUUCAAUUAAUACAUGCUUUCCUAAGUGUAGAUGAAUCAUGCUCUUUUCUUAAUAACUUCUCUACCAUUGACAUCAAACUCUCAAGCCUGUAAUUAUCUGUCUUAAGACUGCUGCAUUUCUUGAAUAAAUGUGCCACAUUUGAUAACCUCCUGUAAUUUAGUCCCUCACCUGGGACUGGUGAAGAUUUAAAAUUUUCUGUCCAGCGCCCAACAACCUGGGAUAUCAGCUGCAAAACAACAAAUUUCACAAUGUAUAUUAGUAAUCAUAAACACGAGAAAUUAUGCAGUUCCUGAAAUCCAAAGCAACACACACAAAAUUCUGGAGGAACUCAGCAAGCCAGGCAGCAUCUAUGGAAAUGAAUGAAAAGUCAACAUUUCAGGCCGAGACCCUUCUUCAUGACUGGAAAAGAAGGGGUAAGAUUAAAAAGAUGUGGAGGGCCAGGAGGUUAGUUAGAAAGUGAUAGGUGAAGCCAGGUGAGUAGGAAAGAUAAAGAGCUGGAGAGGGAAGAAUCUGAUAGGAAAGGACAGUGGACCAUGGGAGAAAGGGAAGGAGGAGGGGACCCAAGGAGAGGUGAUAGGCAAGUGAGAAGAGGCUAGACUGGGGAAUAUAAGAAGAGGGGAGGGGGAGGGAAUAUCUUUUUAGUGGAAGGAGAAAUCAGGUUGAAGACUACCCAAAUGGAAUAUGAGGUGUUAUUCCUCCACCCUGACAGUGGCCUAAUCUUGGCACAAGCGGAAGCCAUAUAUUGACCGGUUGGAACAGGAAUGGGAAUCACAAUUAAAAUAUUUGGCCAUCAGGAAGUUCUGCUUUUGGCAGAUGGAACAGAGGUGCACUAUGAAACUGACUUGUGACAAGUCUUACCAAUGUAGAGGAGACUGUAUCAGGAGAAUCAGACACAAUAAAUGAUCCCGGCAGAUAUCAGUGAUAAAAUAUACACUCCAUGAUUUAAAAAAAGCAAAAUCACCUGGGUUCUUGGGAGAAAAUGUAUGAGUGAAAAUGGCCAACCUGUUUGUGGUACAGCACUCAAUAUCUAAAACCCUCAGAGGGCAAGAAAUGUACCCUGGCAUAAGAAACUAACACCUUGCAAUGACUGCACAUAUACAGUAGAACCUGAUCGAUUUUCACUACCUGUGACCCUUUGUUGACUUCAUUUAUUGGCUCCCAACCUCUGUUGCUUUCUCCAUCUUCCCUUCCCGCACCUGACUCCAUCUGCCCAUCAACCUGUCCUCAUUUAGAUCCACCUACCACUUGCUAACUCUUGCCUCACUACCACCCUUUCACCACUUUAUACUGGCUACCUUUACAAUCUCAGCAGGAUCUCAACAUAAAUCUUCAACUAUCCUUUGCCUGCACAGGUUCUGCCUGACCUGCUGAGCUCUUAAUUUGAUUUUUUUAAAACUUCUUUUAGCUUAGUUCUAAGUGUGCUUUCUUUUUUUCCAGAUUCCAAUAUAUGCGGUCCCUUGUAUGUCAAUUUUCAACUCAACAUCAGAUGGCUUCCAUAAUAGAUCUAUCUUCACUACAAUUUUUGUCAUCAACAAUGUUUAAUGAAAAUAAAAACCCAUGCCUAAAUUAUUAACUGGUUAUUUUUCCACAGCUGCCUGACCUGCUGAGUGUUCCCAAGACUUCUAUUUUUUCUUCGAUUUCCAGAACCUGCUGCUGUUAGUGUGCAGGUGCAGCAAGCUGUUAAAAAAGGAAAAAAAAAAGGCACAUUAGCUCUUAAUGCAAAGCGAAUGUGAAAGUAUUGUUGCAAUUAUAUGUUACUGAGGCCCUACCUGGAGUACUACACAGUUUCGACCCUCUAACUCAGGGCCAGUUACGGCAGCAUUGGAGACUAUCCAAGGAAGGAAAGUUGAGCCAGCUGGGGAUGAAAGGAUAGUCAUCACAAGUGAAGAUACACAGGUUAGAUGUAUGCUCUUUAGGGUGAUCUUACUAAAACACUUAAGGUCCCAAGGAGGCAAGGCAGUGUAGAUUUUGAGAUGUUUUCACCACUCGAUUGAACACGGAAUAUACAUAGAACAUAAAACAGUACAGCAUAGGAGCAGACCCUAUGGUCCACAAUGUUGAGCUGAACCAGCUCAAGAGUAAGUCAAACCCCCACCCCCCCAAAAACUAAUCCCUCCUACCUACACAAUGCCCAUCAACUUCCUAUCAAAGCCUCUAAUGUAUUUGGCUCUACCACCAUACCAGGCAGCGCAUUCCAGGCAUCCACCUCUCUCUGAGUAAAGAACUUACCGUUCACAUCCCUUUGAUCUCAAAUAAGGGGGCAUAGUUUUUAAGAUAAGAGUCUUAUCAUUUAAAAUCGAGGUACAUAGAAAUUUAAACCCAAGCACCAUAUCUAUAAAAUUGUCAAUGACACCACUGCUGUUGGUGAAAUGUCAGACUGUAAUGAAGAAACUUACAUAAGUGAGACUGAUUGGUGUUGCAGCAAUAACCUUGCACUCAGUUCCAGCAAGACUAGGGGAUUGAUUGUGAACUUCAGGAUGGGGAAGUCAGGAAAACACAAUUCAGUCCUUAUUGAGGAUCCAGCAGCGGAAAGGGUAAGCAGUUUCAAGUUCCUUGGUGUCAACAUCUCAGGGGAUCUAUCCUGGCCCCAAACACAAUGAUGCAGUCCAGAAGAAGGCAAAAGAGCAACUCCAUUUCAUUAGGAAUUUGAGAAGAUCUGGUAUGUCAAAGGAUCCUGCAAACUUCUAUAGAUAGAGAAGUGGAAAGCAUUUUGACUGGUUCUAGAAACAGCCAGCUCCAUCACAGGCACUACUAUCCCCGUCAUCAAGAGGUGCUGUUUCAAGAAGGCAGCAUCAAUCAUUCAGGAAGCACACAAACUGCUGAUGCCUACUUUUCAAUUCUACCAUCAAGGAGAAUGUAAAGGAGCCUGAAGACCCUACUCAGUAAUUUAAGAACAGCUUCUUCCCCUCUACCGUCAGAUUUCAGAACAAUAUUUCCCUUUUUCGCAUUAUUUAUUUAAUUUAGCAAUUCAUGGAUUCCUGGCUGUCACAAAACAAUAAAUUCCAUGUUGUACUUCAGUGAUAAUAAACACAA